rnacentral:rRNA from 1 species
CGGUAAAGAUUUAUCGCUCUAUGAAUGGCCUGCGUUCUAUCAGCUUGAUGGUAAGGUAACGGCUUACCAUGGCUACGACGGAUAGGGGAGGUGAGAGCCUGACCCCCACCGAUGGAACUGCGACACGGUCCAUACUCCUACGGGAGGCCGCAGUCGAGAAUCUUCCGCAAUGGACGAAAGUCUGACGGAGCGACGCCGCGUGGUGGAUGAAGUCCUUAGGGACGUAAACACCUUUUAUGGAGGAGGAAUUUUAUUGACGUUACUCCAUGAAUAAGGGGCUCCCAAUUCUGUGCCAGCAGGAGCGGUAAUACAGAAGCCCCGAGCAUUACCCGGAUUCACUGGGCGUAAAGGGUGCGUAGGCGGGUAUAUUAGUCGGGUGUUAAAUCCUGGGGCUCAACCCCAGAAUCGCAUUCGAAACGGUAUAGCUAGAGGAAGUUAGAGGUAAGCAGAACUCUCGGUGUAGGGGUGAAAUCCGUUGAUAUCGAGGGGAAUACCAAAUGCGAAGGCAGCUUACUGGGACUUUCUUGACGCUGAGGCACGAAAGCGUGGGUAGCGAACGGGAUUAGAUACCCCGGUAGUCCACGCCCUAAACGCUGUCUGUUGGCUUUGGGGGGAAUCGACCCCCUCCGAGGCGAAGCUAACGCGUUAAACAGACCGCCUGGGUAGUACGAGCGCAAGCUUAAAACUCAAAGGAAUAGACGGGGGCUCGCACAAGCGGUGGAUCAUGAGGCUUAAUUCGUCGAUAAGCGAAAAACCUUACCAAGACUAGAAAUUAUACUGCACGCUCCGGGAAACCCGGGAAGCCUUCGAGGGUGUAGAACAGGUGAUGCAUGGCCGUCGUCAGUUCGUGGCUUGAGCUGUUCCCUUAAGUGGGGAAACGAACGCAACCCUCGUUGCCUGUUACAAGUGUCAGGCGAGACUGCUCCCUCACGGGAGAGGAAGGUGAGGAUGACGCCAGGUCAGCAUGUCCCUAGAUGCCUUGGGCUGCACUCGUGAUACAAUGGGAAGUACAAAGAGCCGCAAUACCGUAAGGUGGAGCAAAUCCUGAUAAAACUUUCCUCAGUUCGGAUUGUGGGCUGCAACUCGCCCACAUGAAGCCGGAAUCGCUAGUAAUCGUGAAUCAGCACGUCACGGUGAAUACGUUCCCGAGCCUUGUACUCACCGCCCGUCAAGUCAGGGGAGUCGGGAGUGCCCGAAGUACCACCUCGCGUGUCCUACGGUAACUCGAUAACAAGGACUAAGUCG